GUGCCUUAAACUAAUGAGUAAGGAAAAUAAACGAGCCUUGGUAACGCUUGGCUUACAUGCUAGGCUUCCUAGCCUCGAAUUUUUGUAAGGGCAAAGGUCGUCCCGUGGACAGUGCCUACUUUUGCAACGGUCCUGGUGAAGCGAUCUGCCCU
rnacentral:snRNA from 15 species